CCAGGACGGGUGACAUACACAACAACGAGUGGUAGCAGUCUGGCCUGUGCGACUACAGCGAACUCACCAAGGUACAAACACUCAUGACAGAGGACCAAGGAAAUGCUGACAUCUGAGUGACAAGAUAUUCAGAAUGAGGUAGAAGCCGCCUUCUGGCAAGAUCCCAUGUUACAUCAGUCAUAAGGAGGAAUAGCUAUCUUGGAAGAAGGACAUCUCAGGAAUAAAACCUCAUCGAAGAUCGAAGACUGUUUCGCAAUACGUGGUGUGGCGUAAUCAGCUAUCUAUGAAUACCUUCCUAACGACAGUUCAACCUCGAAUAUUAAUAAUUGCCUCUUCGUGCAAAAUAUGGAGAAGUUAAGUUUAUAAAAUUGGUUUAUAUAUUGCUCUAAAGGCUGUGUGAUUAAUUGAAUUUCAACUCAGUUAAAUAAUUCAACUGUUCAUACUAAAUUUCUAUAAUUUAUUUAUUAGUAACAGCAUUAAUUAUUUGACUCCAAGAUGUGGGAACAAUAAUUUGUAUUGAUGCCAAUUGAUCCUCCGCCCGUAAUUUAGACUCUUCAUUAUUCCAAAUAUACUUUGUCUCAUAUAUUUAUCAUUAUAAUU